AUUGAACGCUGGCGGCAUGCCUUACACAUGCAAGUCGAACGGUACCGCGGGGCAACCUGGCGACGAGUGGCGUACGGGUGAGUAAUGCAUCGGAACGUGCCCAGUAGCGGGGGAUAGCCCGGCGAAAGCCGGGUUAAUACCGCAUGAGACCUGAGGGUGAAAGCGAGGGAUCGCCAGACCUCGCGCUUUUGGAUCGGCCGAUGUCAGAUUAGCUAGGUGGUGGGGGAAAGGCGUACCAAGGCGACGAUCUGUAGCUGGUCUGAGAGGACGACCAGCCACACGGGGACUGAGGCACGGCCCAGACUCCUACGGGAGGAAGCAGUCGGGAAUCUUGCACAAGGGGCGAGAGCCGGAUCCAGCCAUGCCGCGGGCGGGAAGAAGGACUUCGGGUGGUAAACCGCUGAUGUCAGGGAAGAAACACUCUGGGCUAAUACCCUGGGGUAAUGACGGUACCUGAAGAAUAAGCACCGGCUAACUACGUG
rnacentral:rRNA from 1 species